rnacentral:piRNA from 1 species
UUAAAAAACGCAAAUUAGCCACGGGUAGGU